rnacentral:lncRNA from 1 species
AAGAGGAUGAGAGGACAUUACUACUUAGUAGAGAGUCGAGUGUGAGGUAGAGCUUCAAGAACCAGGAGGAGUCCAAAGUAAGGUGGAGCUUUAGGUGGAGAUGGAUCGGACACGAGAUGCGAGACUCAGAAGGAUGAGAGGUAAUAUUGUAGGAUGAGAUUCUUAUUACCAUAGGAAGAUACUCCGAGUAGGUCUCAGAUCAGGAGGAGUACAACAUACGAUGG